rnacentral:rRNA from 1 species
AAGUUUUGGUCCUAAACUUGCCGUUGUUUUUAACCAAAAUUAUACAUGCAAGCCUCCACGCACCAGUGAGAAUGCCCCCUUACCCCUUAAAAGCUAACCGGAGCCGGCAUCAGGAACAACACGAUUGGCCCAAGACGCCUUGCUUACGCCACACCCACACGGGCUUUCAGCAGUAAUUAACAUUAAAAAAUGAGCGAAAGCUCGACUUAGUUAUGGUUAAUAUGGCCGGUAAAUUUCGUGCCAGCCACCGCGGUUAUACGAACGACCAAAAACAACGGCCUACGGCGUAAAGCGUGACUAUGGAAAAGUUUUAACCAUUAAGGGGGCACAACUGCCAAGUUGUAAAACACUACUGCACGUUAGAACCACAACAACCCUGCCCUUAAAACAAAAACUCACCUCACCUCACGAAAGCUAAGAAACAAACUGGGAUUAGAUACCCCACUAUGCUUAGCCCUGAACACAGAUAGUAUAAACACAAUACUUUCCGCCAGAGAACUACGAGCGAAAAGCUUAAAACUCCAAGGACUUGGCGGUGCUUCAAACCAACCUAGAGGAGCCUGUCCUAUAAUCGAUACUCCACGUUUUACCUCACCCCCCCUAGAAAACCAGCCUAUAUACCGCCGUCGCAAGCCUACCUUGUGAAAGAAACAAAGUGGGCAAAAUAGUUAACAACUAAUACGUCAGGUCAAGGUGUAGCACACGGGGCGGCAGAGAUGGGCUACAUUUUUCCAAAGACAAUAUACGAAAAGCACGCUGAAACGCAUGCCUGAAGGUGGAUUUAGUAGUAAAACAAACAAGAGAAGCUGUUUUAAACCUGCUCUGAAGCGCGCACACACCGCCCGUCACCCUCAUCA